UACGGAGGGUGCAAGCGUUAUCCGGAUUUACUGGGUUUAAAGGGUGCGUAGGUGGGCAGGUAAGUCAGUGGUGAAAUCUCCGGGCUUAACUCGGAAACUGCCAUUGAUACUAUCUGUCUUGAAUACCGUGGAGGUCAGCGGAAUAUGUCAUGUAGGCGGUGAAAUGCUUAGAUAUGACAUAGAACACCAAUUGCGAAGGCAGCUGGCU
rnacentral:rRNA from 1 species